rnacentral:rRNA from 1 species
GUCUUUUUGAUUAUAAUUUAAAGUYUGACCUGCCCAUUGAUUUAUUAAAAGGCCGCAGUAUUUUGACUGUGCAAAGGUAGCAUAAUCAUUAGUUUUUUAAUUGAAAACUGGAAUGAAAGGUUUGAUAAAAAUAUAACUGUCUUAAAUUUAAUUAAUAAAAUUUUAUUUUUAAGUUCAAAAGCUUAAAUGUAAUUUAAAGACGAGAAGACCCUAUAGAGUUUUAUAAAUUUAUAUAAAAAAUUAUUUUAGAAGUUAUAUAUAUAUUUUUAUUUAUAUUUAUUUAGUUGGGGAGAUUAAAAAAUUUAAAUAACUUUUUUUUUAUUUUUACAUUAAUAAAUGAAUAAUUGAUCCAUAUAAAUGAUUAAAAGAUUAAAUUACCUUAGGGAUAACAGCGUAAUUUUUUUUGAAAGUUCUUAUUAAAAAAAGAGAUUGCGACCUCGAUGUUGGAUUAAAGUUAAAUUUUGGUGUAGAAGCUAAAAAUUUUAGUCUGUUCGACUAUUAAAACUUUACA